GGCCCAAUGGCACAUUGGUUAGUGUGCUCGCUUUAGUUAUCUAAAUCUUUUGCCAGCUUAGGCAAGAGGUCCCCGUUCGAUUCGGGGUUGGGUUA